rnacentral:lncRNA from 1 species
UGAGAAAUGGUCCCUCAUGCAGAGGUCGCACAGGGCUGAAGCCAAACGAGGUGCACCUUCGGGCUGAAAGGGUCCGUCCUUUGAGUGGGGCCGGAAUCAAUGUCGGCACUAAGAAAGUCACUGGUGUGGUGGAAUUGGAGUGUCCCCAUUUCAGAAUAUUCUGGCCACUUCGGCUUGACACUGAUGACUAAAAUUCCACUGCUCAAGUUCAUCUAUUCAGGCUGAAAACAUGUCUGUUGUUGAAAUGUAACCCUUUAGUGAGAGAUAACACAUUUUCCUGCUGCGUAUACCAGGACCUUUGGGGUGGCAAGGUUCAGAAACUGAACUCGAAAUGGCAUAAGCAUAAAACAGGAUUUAACUGGUUCAGUAAUCAGGGUAGACUGGCUUCAAGCACAGCCAGAUCAGGUGCCAAAACAAUGUCAUCAGAAAUCUAUCUUUUGGAGUUCCCAUCGUGGCUCACUGGAGCUGUGGUGGGUCCAAUCAGAGCUACAGCUGCUGGCCUACACCACAGCCACAGCCAUGCCAGAUGUGAGUCAUGUCUGUGACCUACGUCACAGCUCAUAGCAAUGCCGGAUCUUUAACCCACCGAGCAAGGCCAGGGAUCAAACCCACAACCUCAUGGUUCCUAGUUGGAUUUGUUUCUGCUGCGCCAUGAUGGGAACUCCCGGUUUUCAUACCUCCAAAUGUAAUAACUAGCAGAGACCAGCUCCUAAUAGAUGAGACUUAACAGAGGUUGUACAGACAAGUCUAAAGUGAGGGACACCAUACUGGGAAACCAGGCAGGGUUGGGGUCAGAGCAUUAGGGCUCCUGAGGACAUAGGGGCCAAGCCAGGGGCUCUGAGAUUUUAACAAUACACUCUCAGAGGCAGAGAAAAUUUCAAAACCAUGCAAAAAGUAGCAGAGAAAUUCCAGGUAGCCUGACAGGUACGGGGCAGGCGACAAGCACUGCAGUUCACAAUUCGUACCACUGGGCUUCUCCUGACCUGCAUGCUUAGCCUUCAGCCUUGCUUAACAGAAAUGAAAUAAUCUUGUAAGAGUUUCUAUAUCAGAAUCCAGGGAUAUUUCAUCAUGUUUCGUGAGGUGUAUGUGUGCCUGGCAGGGACAAUAGGAUAAAAUCAGGGAAGGCAUCCUGACUCAUCUGCUGGACCAACCCACCAUCUCUGUGUGGUUCCCACCACAGGCAGCUAAGAUUUAUCCAGCACCAUAUUUUUUUUUUAUUCUUAUUUUUCACUUUUUGCUUUUUAGGGCCGGCACAUGGAUGCUCCCAGGGUAGGGGUCGAAUCGGAGCCACAGCUGCUGGCCUGCACCACAGCCACAGCAACACCAGAUCUGAGCUGAGUCAGCAACCUACACUGUGGCUUACGGCAAUGCCAGAUCCUUAACCCAUGGAGCAAGGUCAGGGAUUGAACUCACAUCUUCAUGGAUACUAGUUGGGUUCUUAACCUGCUAAGCCACAAUGGGAACUCCCCAGCACCAUAUGACAACAAACCCAUGAGGUCCAGCCUAGAGCUCCAGUCCUAGGUGAGGAACCAGGGCUUGCAGAAAGGGGAAGUGAUUUGCCAGCCAGUGGGUGUGGGGCCAGGAUGGAGACCCUAGUCAUGGGAUUCCAGAGCCUACAUCCCUAAACCUCAUUCCACAAGCAAGGAUCUGAAACCAGGAAGCGUUGGGGAAGAAUGGAGAGAAGAAUUACAAGGAGAAAAGCUUGAUGUUUAAAGCAAUCGGCAAUAAGGGGUAGGGGGGAAAAAAUCCAGGUAUACAAGACAUGGUUGCUGAGCAUCUCGGAACAGGACCAAGGAGCCAACAGAGUAUGAGAACAUGCUGCCCUUUAUUUGUUAAAGAUGAUAUGACUACAGGUGAAGUGAGCACAUAAUUGAUUCUCUAAACACAGACCUUUAGCGAAUGAGAGGACACAUUAAUAAUCAUACCAGGAAGACUGUGAUAAAUCAAGACUGGCUUGGGAGAAUCAGGACACAGGGUCACCUUAACCAGAGCUACUAAUGGUAGGGCUUGGCUUUAUUCUAAUAGUGGUGAUGGAUAUGCGUGGAUCCAUCCACAGCCCCUCAGAGCCCCUUCCAUCAUCCUUCUGUGGGUUGCAGAAUGGCCAGUGAGGGCUGUAUCAAUGGGCUUUGAUCUUUGUAGCCCUGUUCUCUACCUAACCAUAAUAUAGUCAGGGGACAAAAGACACAGCUUAAAUAAUUAAUGUUCUAAAUUACACCGACAAUUAACUAAGGAAGGCAGUACAUCAGAAUGGCUAAUGGAUAUCACUUUGAGGUUUAAAUCUCAGCUAAGUGAUCUCAGGCAAGAUUUAGUGGGAGUUCAGAUUCCUGAUCUGUGAAAUGAGAACAAGAGCACACACUGAGCUCUCAUUUCAUCCUUAGGGGUGGGGCUAAGCACUUUCUGUGGAUUAUUUAAUUCCAUCACCAUCACAGCCUCAUGAGGCAGGUACUAUUAUUAUCUCCAUUUUGCAGACCAAGGCACUAACGCUCAGGGGGGUUAAGAACUUACUCGGGGUCACACAAUUAAUAAACACCUAUCUGGUGGGGGCUGUUUUGAUGAUUAAAUGAAUCAAAUCUUAUUAAAAACUUAGCAUAUUGACUGAAAGCCAAGUGAAAGCCCUGCAUAAAUGUUAGCCUUUAAUGAUGAUAAUGUAAUAUUCAGUAUUAUUGCUAUCUUACAUUUGUAAUUUGGAAGACACUAAUCUGGAUCAUAUUUCUAACCCACCAAAAGGCAGGAAGGUCCUCGGAAUAAAAACCCUUAAUACCCCUUAAUAUCCUAAGAGGACAGCAAUGUCAACCUGAACCAUCUCUGAAAGCCCCAGGAAUCUGAAACAUCCAGGCACUUCUUGCUGCAGCUGGGAAAAGAAAAUAUUCAUAUGUAUCCUUAAACCCAGGCAGUUAU